rnacentral:rRNA from 1 species
AGCAGCCGCGGUAAUUCCAGCUCCAAUAGCGUAUAUUAAAGUUGUUGCAGUUAAAAAGCUCGUAGUUGAAUUUCGGGCCACCGGCUUGUGGUUGCCUUUCGGUUUUACCCUUGUCCGGUGGUCCUCCUCGCGGGGACGCCGUGGGUCUUCACUGGCUUGCGGAUGCGAACCGUGACGUUUACUUUGAAAAAAU